UGGGGAAUUUUGGACAAUGGGCGAAAGCCUGAUCCAGCAAUGCCGCGUGAGUGAAGAAGGUUUUCGGAUCGUAAAACUCUGUCUUUUGGGGCGAACGUGAGUAUGGUGAACAAUCAUAGUCAGUGACGGUACCAAAGGAGGAAGCCACGGCUAACUACGUGCCAGCAGCCGCGGUAAUACGUAGGUGGCAAGCGUUGUCCGGAAUUAUUGGGCGUAAAGAGCGCGUAGGCGGGAUAGUCAGUCUGUUGUAAAAGUGCGGGGCUCAACCCCGUGAUCGCAAUGGAAACAGCUAUUCUUGAGUGCAGGAGAGGAAAGUGGAAUUCCCAGUGUAGCGGUGAAAUGCGUAGAUAUUGGGAGGAACACCAGUGGCGAAGGCGACUUUCUGGACUGUGUCUGACGCUGAGGCGCGAAAGCCAGGGGGAGCGAACGGGAUUAGAUACCCCGGUAGUCCUGGCCGUAAACGAUGGGUACUAGGUGUGGGAGGUAUCGACCCCCUUCCGUGCCAGAGUUAACGCAAUAAGUACCCCCGCCUGGGGAGUACGGUCGCAAGACUGAAACUUAAAUGAAUUGACGGGGGUCAUAGCUGUUUCCU
rnacentral:rRNA from 1 species